CUGGCUGAACCUUCCUGUGUGAGACGAUCAUAUAUGUGUGUCUGUAAGGACACCAGGGGCAUAACCUAACAAAUGUGUGGGGUCAAUUGGUUCCCCAAAGGGACACUACUGAGAAGCUGGCUCACCAAGUCACGGCCCAGAUUGCUGCUCCUUAUCGCAGGGUUAAAGAGGCCCCAGGUGACCCUCAUGAGAAGAAAAAGGAUGAAGCGCACAAAAGUAGCAAAGGCCACGUAAGCGAACCAGCAGCCGAAUGUCCCACUUCAGCUGAGUUCUUGACAGUGCAAAGUUGCUCAUGGAAGACAAAGAAAAAGACAACCUUUGUGUUGUAUGAAUGCUUCAAAAAGGACUAAAAUGCAAAAGAUAAACAAAAGGAACACAAAGAAUGAACAGAAGAGAAUAAUGCAGAGGGCUUACUUUACAACACACCUCUUUUUUUACAGUCACAGUACAGAUUGUGACUUUGCACAUCUUUCCUAUAGAUGUGUUGGUAGACCACCCCUACUGUCUUUUUUUCAUAAUUUAACUGUAUCUGGUUUGAGUCUUUAGGCAGCUCAAACUAGUUACUGAUAAAAUUCUCUAUGGUUAAGCCCACUACUAUCUCACUUUUUUGAGCCAACGCUUUUCAAAUAGCCUAUUUUAUUACAGGACAAUGUUUUACAUGCCAGCCAUUACUACAGCUACUGCUACUACUAAAGCUACUACUACUACAACUAAUACCGCUUGUCCUGCUGCUGCUGCUGCUACUACUACUACAGCUACUACCACUUCUACUACUAGUACUACUACUGGUAACAAUAAUAAUGAAAAAGGAGUAGAAUGUUACUGUUACAUGUUAAUGUUAUGUAACAAUAACAUUACAUUGUUACAUAAGAAAACAUAUACAAUCAUUGCAUGGCUACAUCACUCACACAAAUGAUACUUGAUCUUUUAGGUUUUUAUCAAAGUCAAUAUUUUUUCUUCUUCUAUUUAAUUUCCCAAUUUAAACAAAUGCUUUGUUUUAAAUAAUUUGUUAAAAUUAGCCACACAUUUUCCCAGAACAGUAUUCUAUUUAUCAGGAAACUACUUUCAUCUGGUGUUGGAAAUAUGAAAUAAACUGUACAAAACAGUGUAUUUCUCUCUUCAGUAUGUAUGUCACUGGUGAAAUAUGUCUAAUUAAACACUUUCUGUAAUGAAAGGCAUUCUAGGCAUUAAUUCAUACCGGUAGGUAGAAUGAUCUUAUCUGCUGAGACUUCAGGAGCACCUCACUGUCCUGCAGUCUCCAUGUCAUCUUUUGUGCUGCAACUAUAUUCAACUUGAAUAAAAAUGUGACUAAAGUAGAAA